rnacentral:rRNA from 1 species
GUCUACGGCCAUACUACCCUGAACGCGCCCGAUCUCGUCAGAUCUCGAAAGCAAAGCAGGGUCUCUGGCCUGGUUAGUACUUGGAUGGGAGAAC